rnacentral:rRNA from 1 species
UACGGAGGGGGCCAGCGUUGUUCGGAAUCAUUGGGCGUAAAGGGCGCGUAGGCGGCCGGGUAAGUCUGACGUGAAAUCCCUUGGCUUAACCAAGGAAUUGCGUCUUAAACUGUCCGGCUUGAGUCCGGGAGAGGGUAGUGGAAUUCCCAGUGUAGCGGUGAAAUGCGCAGAUAUCAGGAAGAACACCAACGGCGAAGGCAGCUCGCUAGGACGGUACUGACGCUGAGACGCGAAAGCGUGGGGAGCGAACAGG